rnacentral:rRNA from 1 species
UAAAUUUAAGCAUAUAAGUAGGUGGUGGAAAACAAACCAAAUGGGAUUCUUCAAGUAAUGGCGAAUGAACCUAGAUAUGCUCAAUUUGAAAAAUACAGUGAUACUGUUUGACAUGUAAUUUCAAAAUGUACAACCAAUUGGCAUGCAAGUGGAAGCUCAUUGAAAGAAUGCGUCGAAGAAGGUGAAAAUCCAUUUUGCCACUUGUAAUGUUGUUGUUUAUGGUGUAUAUUUCAGGAGUCACAUUCCUUGGCAUUGGAAUGCAAUGUGGGUGGUAAACUUCAUGCAAAGAUUAAUAUGUGUUUGAGAUUGAUAGUACACAAAUACCGUGAGGGAAAUAUGAAAAGGACUUUGAAAAGAGAUUUAAAAGAGUUUGCAGUUGCUGAACAAAAAACAAAUAGGAUGUCCACGAUUGAGCAGAUUGUUGAACCUCGGUUUGCUUCAAUUGCUAGCAUGUGUGUAUUCAAUGAUUCUAUCUUUGUCUACCAUACCAUUCUCAGCGUAUCAUGCCACUUGCAGGUGCUUCGUGUUUUUGCUUGCGAGCUAAUGACAACACCUGCUUGAGAAUGGUAUGCCAAGUGUUUUUGUGCUUAGAGUCUGCAUGGUGCUAUUGUUAAGCUGCAGGUUUGAACUUGUGCUUUGAGCUGUGCUCUACCUUUUGCAUAUGUCUAUUGGUGAUCAUAUCCUGCUUGACC